GCGGGUGUAGUUCAAUGGUAGAACCUCAGCCUUCCAAGCUGAUGAUGGCGGUUCGACUCCGCUCACCCGCUCCA
rnacentral:tRNA from 1 species